UGGGAGGCUUGGAAGUGUGGACGCCAGUCUGCAUGGAGCCGACCUUGAAAUACCACCCUUUAAUGUUUGAUGUUCUAACGUUGACCCGUAAUCCGGGUUGCGGACAGUGUCUGGUGGGUAGUUUGACUGGGGCGGUCUCCUCCUAAAGAGUAACGGAGGAGCACGAAGGUUGGCUAAUCCUGGUCGGACAUCAGGAGGUUAGUGCAAUGGCAUAAGCCAGCUUGACUGCGAGCGUGACGGCGCGAGCAGGUGCGAAAGCAGGUCAUAGUGAUCCGGUGGUUCUGAAUGGAAGGGCCAUCGCUCAACGGAUAAAAGGUACUCCGGGGAUAACAGGCUGAUACCGCCCAAGAGUUCAUAUCGACGGCGGUGUUUGGCACCUCGAUGUCGGCUCAUCACAUCCUGGGGCUGAAGUAGGUCCCAAGGGUAUGGCUGUUCGCCAUUUAAAGUGGUACGCGAGCUGGGUUUAGAACGUCGUGAGACAGUUCGGUCCCUAUCUGCCGUGGGCGCUGGAGAACUGAGGGGGGCUGCUCCUAGUACGAGAGGACCGGAGUGGACGCAUCACUGGUGUUCGGGUUGUCAUGCCAAUGGCACUGCCCGGUAGCUAAAUGCGGAAGAGAUAAGUGCUGAAAGCAUCUAAGCACGAAACUUGCCCCGAGAUGAGUUCUCCCUGACUCCUUGAGAGUCCUGAAGGAACGUUGAAGACGACGACGUUGAUAGGCCGGGUGUGUAAGCGCAGCGAUGCGUUGAGCUAACCGGUACUAAUGAACCGUGAGG
rnacentral:rRNA from 1 species